rnacentral:rRNA from 1 species
AACGAACGCUGGCGGCGUGCCUAAUACAUGCAAGUUGAGCGCUGAAGGUUGGUACUUGUACCAACUGGAUGAGCAGCGAACGGGUGAGUAACGCGUGGGGAAUCUGCCUUUGAGCGGGGGACAACAUUUGGAAACGAAUGCUAAUACCGCAUAAAAACUUUAAACACAAGUUUUAAGUUUGAAAGAUGCAAUUGCAUCACUCAAAGAUGAUCCCGCGUUGUAUUAGCUAGUUGGUGAGGUAAAGGCUCACCAAGGCGAUGAUACAUAGCCGACCUGAGAGGGUGAUCGGCCACAUUGGGACUGAGACACGGCCCAAACUCCUACGGGAGGCAGCAGUAGGGAAUCUUCGGCAAUGGACGAAAGUCUGACCGAGCAACGCCGCGUGAGUGAAGAAGGUUUUCGGAUCGUAAAACUCUGUUGGUAGAGAAGAACGUUGGUGAGAGUGGAAAGCUCAUAAAGUGACGGUAACUACACAGAAAGGGACGGCUAACUACGUG